rnacentral:rRNA from 1 species
AGAGUUUGAUCAUGGCUCAGGAUGAACGCUAGCUACAGGCUUAACACAUGCAAGUCGAGGGGAAACGACAUCGAAAGCUUGCUUUUGAUGGGCGUCGACCGGCGCACGGGUGAGUAACGCGUAUCCAACCUGCCUACCACUUGGGGAUAACCUUGCGAAAGUAAGACUAAUACCCAAUGACGUCUCUAGAAGACAUCUGAAGGAGAUUAAAGAUUUAUCGGUGAUGGAUGGGGAUGCGUCUGAUUAGCUUGUUGGCGGGGUAACGGCCCACCAAGGCGACGAUCAGUAGGGGUUCUGAGAGGAAGGUCCCCCANAUUGGAACUGAGACACGGUCCAAACUCUACGGGAGCA